AUGCAGGUGCUGAGUCUGAUGUUCUGUGGACUGGCACUGCUUAAGAUCUGAUUCCUGCAAGACAGACAACCCUAUCCAAGCUCUUUUAGACAUCUUCCAAGGACAAAGCAAGAAAUUGAAGAGCAGUGAUAGCUUACCAGGCAGUAAUAGUGUGAGCUUGGUGUUACUCAGGCACGUGUCCCAGAGGUCGGACAUGAAAUACUGGGUUCUGGAAGGUACCAAACGUUAGCUGAUAGUCACUGCUGCCAUUGUCUUCUCAAAUGAGAUUAUGGAAUGAUUUGAAAAGUGGGAGGCAGCCUGGAGAUGCAGAGCCAGUGAGGAGGCCGUCCGUAAACAUUUCAGCGCCACAGAGACCAAACUAGAUCUUUGAAUUUGAGUGAAGCCUAUAGGAUUAUUUGGGAAACAUCUAAAAGAAAGCCUGACAUGUCCUGUGGAGCAUGCAUUGUACAUCUGCUUUAAACAUUUACUAUGUCCCAAAGCCAAGAAAGAUGCCCUUAAAGAGAGGGAUGUGUCUUCUCCCCAUCUCGGUAUUUCUUUAAGGAGCUAAUGAUGCCAUGGUAUUGUCCUGGGAAGGAAUAUAAGAAAAUGGAGAAGAGAAGCACAAUAACAAGUUCAGAAAGAUGAUAUUUUCACCACUCAGAAUUUUAGGUUCACAUUUAAAGAAUCUUAUGGAAGUCGGAAAAGGAAAGAACCAAUACAGCCUUUUCAGUUGUGGAAGAAUUAUUUGAAAUAAAGAAUUGGAGGCUGUGCCCCAAUAAAAUGAGAGAGAAGACCAAGGAAAAGGAAGAGACGGGGUCCUGAAAAGAGGGAAGACACGGUGAAGGGAAUUGUCAGGAUGACGGCCGUGUGCCAGAUCCGGAGAGCAGCAGUCUACAUGGAGCUGGACUGGCAUCUCCAGGAUAGAUUCUCUGAAGUACUAGAAAAUGAAAAAAUUUUUGUUAGGGCGUUCGUCAGACAGUGGAAAAGAGAUCACAAUGGUUAAUUUCGCUAUGUUGGAAGAGUUACUACAGGAGACAAAUACCCUUCUUGGCUGGAGAUCACUG
rnacentral:lncRNA from 1 species